rnacentral:tRNA from 1 species
AGAAAGCUAGUCUAACUAAGACAGUUGAUUUCGGCUCAACAAAUUGCAGCUCACACCCUGCAGCUUUCUC